UGUUAAAUUUAAGUUAUAAUAAGGUAAAUUAUAAAAUUUUAAUUCGAUUACGUUAAUAUUGAAUAAUCUGUGUGUUUUUUAACGUAGUGGCUAUUUUUAACAUUUUUUACAUUGAAAUGGCCAUAAAAAUUAUUUUAAUCUAACUAUAGCAUAAAGAAUAAACCUUAAAAUUCAAGAAAAACAUGUGGUCGCCGUGCAACCACUUCUGGAAUAUUUGACAUGGAUUGAUCCUAAGCUUCGAUGUGAAUCUGAAGUGUAUCUCUACGUAAUAAACUCUUCAAAAAUAGGUGAUAACAUUAAUGGAAUAACUGUGCGGUCGUCAAAUUUGGAUCAAGAGCUAAUUAUAUCGAUUAAUCGAUGUUAUUAUCGAUAGCCAAAAAAUAACUUUUUCUAAUAAUAUUAUAUAUUAUUACAUUUCUUGAUGAAAUAAUUACAUGACUCAAUCAAUGGGGGGCAUGUGCCCCUGUGCCACCCCCUCAUAAUUCGCCAUUGUAUAGAGUGUUUAGUAAAUAAGAAAACGGGUUUCUAUUGUUCUCAAUAUUAGUAACAAUUAACCUGUUUCCUUACGUACUAUACACUCUGUAAUUUUGAAGUCG